GAUGAACGCUGGCGGCAUGCCUAAUACAUGCAAGUCGAACGAGAGGAAGGAAAGCUUGCUUUUCUGAAUCUAGUGGCGAACGGGUGAGUAACACGUAGGUAACCUGCCCAUGUGCCCGGGAUAACUUCUGGAAACGGAUGCUAAAACCGGAUAGGUAGCAGACAAGCAUUUGACUGCUAUUAAAGUGGCUAAGGCCAUGAACAUGGAUGGACCUGCGGUGCAUUAGCUAGUUGGUGAGGUAACGGCCCAACAAGGCGACGAUGCAUAGCCGGCCUGAGAGGGCGGACGGCCACAUUGGGACUGAGACACGGCCCAAACUCCUACGGGAGGCAGCAGUAGGGAAUUUUCGUCAAUGGGGGGAACCCUGAACGAGCAAUGCCGCGUGAGUGAGGAAGGUCUUCGGAUCGUAAAGCUCUGUUGUAAGAGAAAAACGACAUUCAUAGGGAAUGAUGAGUGAGUGAUGGUAUCUUACCAGAAAGUCACGGCUAACUACGUGCCAGCCGCCGCAGUAA
rnacentral:rRNA from 1 species